rnacentral:ncRNA from 1 species
AUAAAAUUGUAAUAUAUAAGUAUAUAUAAAUUAUAUAAAUUUAAUUAUGGUUUAAAAAUUAGUUAUAAAAUUUAUUUAUAUAUAAUUUAUUGAGAUAAUUUAUAAAAUUUAAAAUUUUAAAAUUUAAAAUUUAGUAUUUAAUAUUAAUAAAAUUUAUGAAAUUAAAAAUUAGAAAAUUUUUAAAUUUAGAUUAAUAAUUGUGCCAGCAAUCGUGGUUAGACAAUUUAAAUAAAUUAAUUAAUAAAAAAUUAAAAUUAAUUAAAAAAAAAUAUUAUAGAAAAAAUAUAAGUUUAUUAAGUGAAAUUUAUUAAAUUUAUAAAAAAUAUAAAUUAAUUAAAUGAGUUUUUGAAAAUUUUUAUAAAACUAGGAUUAGAUACCCUAUUAUAUAAUUUAAAAGUAAAUUUUGAUUAUUAAAUGAUUAAUCAUUAAAAUUAAAUAAUUUGGCGGUAUUUUAAUUUUAUUAGAGGAACUUGUUUUUUAAUUGAUAAUCCACGAAAGGAGGAACUUAAAUAAAAAUUUUUAUAUUGUUGUUUAAAGAAUAAUUUUAGAAAAAAUUAUUUUAAAAUUAUAAGAAUAAAAAAAUUCAAAUCAAAAUGAAGUGAAUAUUUAAGAAUUUAAUGAGUUACAAAAAAAUAAAUUUAUAGAAAUUUUCAAAAAUUUAAAUUUUUGAAAGUGAAGAAUUUAAAAGUAAAUAAAAAUAAUUUUUUUUAUUGAUUUAAAUUUUAAAAUAUGUACAAAUUGCCCGUCGUUCCCUUUGAAUAAAAGGGGUAAGUCGUAACAAAGUAAAAGUACUGGAAAGUGUUUUUUGAU